ACAACUGCAGCGAGAGAAGAGGCUGGCAGCAUGGGUGGCAGGAGGCUUGGCAGCCUCACAGGAUGCCUGCAAAUACCUUUCACUUAUGCAGUUUGGCAGUGCAGUGGUGCAUGGAGACAGCGUCUUGGGCCUGGCACCCACAGCCACUUAGGAAGUUGGAGUCCUGGAGAGGAGAACACAGAACGUGGACAACUAGCUGUCAAAUUGCAGUAAAAGUUGGUUCAGGAAAAGUGGAAGCUACCCAGAUGUCUACCAAUUGAGAUGAACCAUCCAAUCUCCUGCCUCGAGUAUUGAAGCCUGGCUACUGUGACUGUGGGGAAGGGAUUAAUGGUCUCAGCAUUCAGCCAACAACAAUACCUGCUCACUAUAAGCAUUCAGAAAACAGAAAAGUUUCAAGAAGCAGGAAGAAAAGACUCACCUAUGAUCCCAACACCCAGAGAUAAGAGUCCUGAAGCUCAGAUGACACAGCUGAUAACAGGGAAGCCAGGACAGAAUCUCAUUGUUUUGAACACCAAAACCCGUUCCCUUGACAACUUGGCUAUACUACACUAUUCGAAUGUUGCAGAUACUGUGGUCACAUUUCAAAGGCCAGAUCUUUCCCAGGGCUUAAGCUGUUCCUUGGAUACUUUUGGUAAGUCAUUUAUCCACUAAUCAUUUAGUAAUCGUCUCUGACAUGCCAAACACCCUGCUCAGGGCUGGAAAUGCAGAACCUGGGAAGCCACUGGCCUUGUCCUCAAGAUCUCUCUCUGGCUCCCUUUGAAUUUGCUAAUUCAGACUUUCACAUUUCCCCCAGGAAAAAUCAUAAGGACCAAAUCAUAUCCGUUUUCUCAAAUGGCUUCAAAGACCCAUGUCAUCGUUUGGCAUCAUGUAAUUCUUUACUGAUGUACUUUAAGAGUCACGUUUUAUUCUCUUUAUGCAGCUGUCAAGGACAGACACAAAGAGUGGGGGUGUCUUCCUCACUAAAUACUUUCCCACAACA
rnacentral:lncRNA from 1 species